UUAAAAAGCUCGUAGUUGGAUUCUGGGAUUUCAGCCGGCCGGCUCUUAGGAGUGUAGCUAGGUUGCAAGUCUCAUCUUCUCACAAUUCUCGCUGGCCUUAACUGAUCGGCGUAGAGGACUGAGUCGUUUACUUUGAGAAAAUUAGAGUGUUCAAAGCAGGCUAUCGCCUUGAAUAUAUUAGCAUGGAAUAAUAAUAUAGGACUUUGGUUCUAUUUUGUUGGUUGUUCGAGGACCGAAGUAAUGAUUGAUAGGGACGGUUGGGGGCAUCAGUAUUCUGAAGCGAGAGGUGAAAUUCUUGGACCUUCGGAAGACUAACAACUGCGAAAGCAUUUGCCUAGGAUGUUCUCUUUAAUCAAGAACGAAAGUUGGGGGAUCGAAGACGAUCAGAUACCGUCGUAGUCUCAACUAUAAACUAUGCCAGCUAGGGAUUGGUGGAUGUUUGAUUACGACUCCAUCAACACCUUAUGAGAAAUCCAAGCAUCUGGG
rnacentral:rRNA from 1 species